GUAGGGAAUAUUGGGCAAUGGAUGCAAGUCUGACCCAGCCAUCCCGCGUGCCGGAAGAAGGCCCUCAGGGUUGUAAACGGCUUUUGACGGUGAAGAAUCGACAGGAUGCGUCCUGUUUUGACGGUAGCCGUUGAAUAAGCACCGGCUAACUCCGUGCCAGCAGCCGCGGUAAUACGGAGGGUGCGGGCGUUGUCCGGAUUUAUUGGGUUUAAAGGGUGCGUAGGCUGGAAGGUCAGUAAGCGGUGAAAAGCUGUCGCUUAACGAUAGUCUUGCCGCAGAUACUUCCUUUCUUGGAUGAGGAGGAGGCCACUGGAACGGAUGGUGUAGCGGUGAAAUGCAUAGAUAUCAUCCAGAACACCGAUUGCGAAGGCAGGUGGCUGUACCUUAAUCGACGCUGAUGCACGAAAGCAUGGGGAGCAAACAGGAUUAGAAACCCGAGUAGUCC
rnacentral:rRNA from 1 species